rnacentral:rRNA from 1 species
GACGAACGCUGGCGGCGUGCCUAACACAUGCAAGUCGAACGAAGCUAUAUGGAAUGAGACUUCGGUCAAAGGAAGUAUAGACUUAGUGGCGGACGGGUGAGUAACGCGUGAGCAACCUGCCUUUCAGAGGGGGAUAACGUUUGGAAACGAACGCUAAUACCGCAUAACAUAUCGAAGCCGCAUGGCUUAGAUAUCAAAGGAGCAAUCCGCUGAAAGAUGGGCUCGCGUCUGAUUAGCUGGUUGGUGAGGUAACGGCCCACCAAGGCGACGAUCAGUAGCCGGACUGAGAGGUUGAUCGGCCACAUUGGGACUGAGACACGGCCCAGACUCCUACGGGAGGCAGCAGUGGGGGAUAUUGCACAAUGGGCGCAAGCCUGAUGCAGCAACGCCGCGUGAGGGAAGACGGUCUUCGGGAUUGUAAACCUCUGUCUUUAGUGAAGAAGAAGUGACGGUAGCCAAGGAGGAAGCCACGGCUAACUACGUGCCAG